CACAGGGUCAGUGAUCAUGAAAAGGUCUGAUUUUUCCACUCUUUCCCGGAUACAAAAAUAAGAACAAGGCAGGAAGAGUUUUAUUAACUCCUUUUUCCUUCACACAGUACCAGUGAAUGUUCUCCAAAGGUCUAGAAAACAAGCCCUAGUACCAAUUUUUUUAAGGAAGUUAUUCAUUUUUCCUAAUCUUCACGAAACAGGGUGAUUGCAGAAGCCCCCUGAGACAACCUGAAUUCUCACCCAGCUGCCCUGUGUGAGAGCAGGCCCCUGGUCAAAGCAGCUGAGGCUUCCUGGCAACUCCCACUGGACAAACGGCUGCUUGUGGAACAGACUGCCCUCUUCAUAAAGCUCAGCCCCAGUGGAUUUUACAUAUUUCAGCCACAUUGGCUGACCCAGAGGUGCCAUCCACCCAUCCGGAAACAAGGAAAACCAGGACAACAUGGCUUCUGUCCUCGCAUCUGGCUCUAGCAGAGACAGCAAAGCUCUCAGAUGAAAAUUUUAGAGCUUUGCUUUCCACUGAACCAUGAUGCCUUCCCAAGACGC
rnacentral:lncRNA from 1 species